CAGAAGAGUUAUCAACUAACAGUUCACGUUUUCCCGGUUAUUAUUCAAAUGCCGGUCAGUAUUCACCUUAAUCAAUUCUUUCCAAACGUUCAGCAAGCAGCAUUUUGGUGCAAAGUUUAUGGCAUUCCUGAGCCUGAAGUCAACUGGAAAAAGGAUGGGAUAUCAAUAGAUACUUCAAGCUCUGACUAUAGAAAAGGAAGGCAAUGGUUGCUAAUUAGAUAUGUUGAUCACGGUCAUCUUGGAAACUACUUCUGUUAUGCUAACAACUCAUU